UCAUUUUGAGUUUGCUACUGAGAUCAUGACACUGAAACCUUCACUUGCUCAGAAACUAAAUCCAGAAGGCUUCACUCCCAUCCACCUUGCUUUACAACGCAACCAUGACGAAAUGGUCCUUCGCCUUGUAGAAAUGAACAAAGACCUCGUCCGAGUCAAAGGGAGGGAAGGCUUCACUCCGCUGCAUUUGGCAAGUCAAGAAAAUAAAACUGAGCUUUUGGAUAAGUUCCUCAAGGCUUGUCCAGAUUCCAUUGAAGAUGUGACUGCUAGAAGUGAGACUGCACUGCAUAUUGCAGUGAAACAUGGACACCAUGAGACACUUCAAGUCCUAUUACGGUGGCUCAUGAGAAAUUCCCGAAAAGAUUCUCAAAAGUUCAUAAGAACAAUGUUGGACUGGAAGGAUCAAAAAGGCAAUACCGUUUUGCACGUUGCAGCACUCUACGAUCACAUAGAGGUAUCAUUUAAUCUAUUUACAUACAUUGAUUUGAAUUUAAUCUUGAUAUGAGUAAAAUGUUAGUAUCAGGGCAUAAUGCAUUGGUACAAUUCAAAAAAUUAAAAUUUAACAAAUCCAAAAACUAAAAUGGUGGAUGCUUAUGAUUUAGAGAGUAGAAUAAGAAUUUUUAUUUUAUAUAUAUAUAUAUAUAUAUAUAUAAGUGUUACUAAAUGACUAGAAAUGAUAUCUUCUUGUUGGAAAAAAAUUAGUACGUAGUUCUGAUUAAGUGUAAGUAUUUUUAUGACACCUGUAUAUAAUUAACAAUACCAUUUCGUGGUGCUUUUGACGAUCUGAUCAUUAUACAGGCAGUGUCAUUAUUGUUAACUAUGGUUGAUUUAGAUGCCAAGAAUUUAGAAGGCAAAACAGCAUCAGACAUUGCAAGCAGCGACCAUAUGAAGAGCAUAUUAAUCAAGGACCCUGGGUUUAUUGAGUCCUUGCCCUUGUUACGAAAUAAAUUUAGGAAUUUUUUUCUCAGGUUUAGACGGUAUAUGUCAGAAGAGGAACGCAACGCAUAUUUGGUAGUUGCCGCUCUUAUUGCGACCGCCACUUAUCAAGCAGCCCUGAGUCCCCCUGGUGGAUUAUAUCCAUCUAAUGUUGGGACUAAUAAUAAUACUAGUCAUGUGGUGGCCUCUACUGAUUCCAUAAAUGACAAAUCUUCAAUUCCAAAAGACGGGAACUCAAUCAUGUCUGCAACAGAGUUUAAUUUGUUUUCGAUCGCUAAUACGUGUUCCUUUAUGGCAUCAACUUUCGCAAUUGUUCUUCUAUUGCCGAGGAUGAAUGUUAUUUGGUAUCUACUAUAUCCGCCGCCGUUCUUCCUUCAGAUGAGCUUCUGUAUCGCUAUGAUGGUGAUAUCUCCCACCCCUCUUAACGCAUACGUGGUUAUGCUUAUUUUUAUAGUAUGUAUGUUGCUCUUUUAUUUUCUUGUAAUUAGAGGGUGUUUGGGGAAAAACAAUAUCACCACCAUGAUUUUUCCAAAGCAACUAUAUGUUGCUUCAAAUCCAUCAUAAUUUGAUAAUUGAUUUUCGUUCAUCUCACUAUCACCCCAACCAUGCUAUUAGUCAUUAUAAACUUGUUCUUAAAAAGAACUGCUUUGUACGUGUAUGCAUUCCUUGCUAGGUAUUUUGAAGUGGCUGAAUGUAAAAAUAAGAGUAAAAGUUAUUUGUACGGAAAUAUUACACAAUUACUUUUACAGCAAUGUUAUACAUGCCUUCCUCAUUAUUCCAGUUCAAUAUUGUUCUUUUUAAUUGCUGGGCACCUUUUUGAGCAUUUCUCUCGAGUCUAGGACUAGAAGAGCUGUUUGGUGUCGAUGUUUUUCACUGCAAUAAGAAGUGCAUUUCUCUCGGAGUCUAGUAACAAUUAUUUUUUGCACUAUCCUUUUGUCAGGAAAAUUCUUACCGAGGAGACGUACCUUGUUUGCAAUGCUCAAUGGUUUGUCAACAUAACUUUUGAUAGUUGCUGUCUCCUUCAUGCUCUGCAUCUUAAAUUCUUGAGCCAAGUUAAGUGCUUUCAUACCUUUGGUUCGCUCACUACCCUAAUACUCUGAUUUGAGGUAGUCCCAAAUGUCCUUCGCAGAAUUCAAAUUCAUAAUUCCUGUAAAUAUAAUUUUUGAAACUGAAGAGAAAAGACAAGCUUUGGCCUUGACAUUUCUUGUCUUCCUCUCUUUGUGAUUCUUUAGCUAAGCCACCGUAGGAUUUUCAGGCAGUGGCCAAACUGCAUAGUCUUCUUCUAUCAGUUCCCAAAGAUCUAGUGCUUUAAGAUGAGUAGUCAUCCUUGCAGCCCAUAGGUCGUACUCCUCACCAUCAAAAACUGGUGGUGGUAUUAUGUGUGUUGUGUUUGCUUCCAUUAUGGUUUCUCUCAACUCACAGAUCCCUCAAGAUAAUGACUAAUUUAUUGUUGAAGAUUAGAUAAAAGAUAGAGGAGAGCAGAUAUAUUUUUUAAGGAUGCAUAGUUCUUAUUCAUUUGCUCUUUAAAUAGAGCUAGAGUCAAAUAUACAAAACAAAAAAUUCCUUAUUUUUAGACAUGACUAAAACAGUUUCUAAUAUGAUAAAAAAAUAGAAUCAUAACUCCUAAAGAAUAGAUCUUAAGUAACAGACAAUUUUAAAUUUUUAAAAUUAGCUAAAACAUCUACUUAAUGCAGCUAUUGUAGGCACAAUUUCAACAUUUAUACAAUUAAAUUUAUUUAUUAAAUUUAUUUACAUGAAAAUUAUGGAACAUAAAUGUUUGAAUAAAAAAGGUAAAACAUAGUGAAAAUCUUGUGAAAAGUUAAUCUAAUAAGCAAUGGAAAAAUUGAAAAAUUUAAUAUUAUUAUUUUUUCUAUAUGCUCAUGAGACUCAUUUUUAUGUAAUUUUAAUCAUGUUUAGCCUCUUUUUAAUUCGCACAUCCAUUGGAUUUCAUAAUUUUUAUGUAAGUGUUUCUAAUGGAAUAAUUUUCACAUCUCAAAUUAAUACAAAAAAGAUUCAAAAUUAGAUCUCAAAAUUAAAAAUGAUCAUAGUUUCAAAAGGACCAUUUUGACUCACUUCAAAAACAUAAAAAAUUAAAUUUGAACUUCUAAUACAUAAAUGAUCAAAUUGAACAAAAACUAAAACAUAAAGACCAAACAUGUAAUUUAGUUCUCUUUUAAAAUGAUAUCUACAAUUUCUUAAUUAGUUUUUUAAAAAAAACAAUCACCUUGCGUAGAUAAUAUCAAAGAAAAGGUAGGGGUCCCAGUCUAUUAAGUAAAACAAGACAUGCAUGUUAAAUAAUAAAUGCUUAAAAUAUAUUUUUAAUCUCUCAAAUAUAAUAAUUUUCUUGUUUUAGUCAUUCAAAUUAAAAGUUAUAUUUUUUAGUCCUUUGAAUUCAUAAAAUAUUUUUUUUAGUCCCUCAUCAUAGAUGGAAUUUAGCUAUACCAAACAGGGAAUACUGAAAUUACAAUUUACAAUAGUUUUUUACCAUCAGAAUUUGAUUUAUAAUAUAUUUUUUAAAAUACAAUUUCUAUCACUUAAAAAUUACCACAAAUUAUUAAAAAAGAAUUAAAAAAAUGUAAGAAUCAGAUUCAUCUUCCUCUUCCAUUCUCUUCCUACCAUCCAAUUUUUUUUUUUAAUCACGGACAAGGCCAUUCACUUCAAUUCAAUGACUAAAGCUAAGCACAAGUAAAUUAGGGUUUCAAAUGCCGAGAUCUGAUAGUUUUGUUUUGUGCUAUUUUUCUGUUCUUGCAAUUUUGUUUGUGAUUCAACGCUAAUAAGUGUUCAUAAUUUCAUUUAAUUCUAAUGUUUUUGUUGCUGGAAUUAUGGUUAUGAUGCAUGCUUUCUCUUUCUAGGCAAUUAAUUUGAAGAGCAUAGACUAGAGACUGAAGCUCCAACAUUUGGAGUAUGAUCUGAGUUUAAAUUUAUAAUAGUUGAAGGAAGUAGCCAUUGGGUUUUUGGGUUUCCUGUAGUCCAGAUUAUGGGGCUUAUUCAUCUACAAGCACAGGUUUUUCUUUAUUAUCCUUUUUGCAAGGUGUGGUGGUCAGAAGCCACCAGAAAUUACAAAUUUUGUAUUUCCAAUUUGGUUGUUUCGAUGGUGUAUGUGAAAAAGGACUAAAUAAAUUUAUUGUCGACAUUUAGGAACUAUAAAAAAACUUCAUAUUUGGGGGAGUAAAAAAAGACCUAAUUUGAGAGACUAAAACAUAUUUAAAUUAAUAAUAAAUACAUCAAAAAAAUAUGAAGUAAAUAUAUAACAUAUCUAGUCUAUAAAUUAUGUAUUCUGACAUGUUAAUUCCUAUAUUUUCUAAAUAACUAAUUUUGUUCACAAAUAUAUAAAUAUUGUGACAAAUUAGUUUAAUCAUUUAUUAUAAGUCAGGUAUGUUGUGGAUUAAUUUAUAGUAAAAGUAUAAUUUCAAGACCAUUCUAAUAUUAAAUGUCAUACUUUUGGGACCAAAUUAUUGGUAUGCUUAAUGUUUGGAUUAAUUUGUUAUAACAUUCGUACAUUUAUGGACUACAUUUUUCAUUUCUAAAAUUGUAGAAACUAAAUUGUCUAUAAAUACAUUGUUUAGAGACUACAUAGGUUUUUUACAAGAAAAAAUCUUGAGUAUCUAUAGAGGGUGUGACUAUGUGAGUGUGUGAGUAGUGUUAUUGUACUCGACUCGGACCGGCCGGGUCUGCCAAUUAACUCUAGAACUAGACACCCAAUCAAUUCGAGUCAAGUGGUGGAUUGUAUAUGCACAUGAACUUGUGCAACCCAGUUUAACUCAGGCGAGUUUCAUGAAAAUUGAUAACCCGAUUGGUCACUUUAAAAAGAAGAUCGGAACAACGGUGUAGCUCAAAAUGUAAAAAAAAAAAAAGGUAAUUGUAUUUCAUUACAAAUUAGCUCUACUUGGUUAACAGUGUGUCAUCUUAUUAUAAUUAUAAUAUAAGAUAUUUAAACCUUAAUAUAUGUACAUAUCUUUUACAUUUUUUAUGACUACAAAUCUAACAUAAAAAUACUGACAAGAAUAUAUUGUUAGACACUAGACAAUCCAUCAUUAGAUGACCUACACAUCUCAUAAGAUUUUAAUAAAAAACAAAGAUAUAAGUCAACGGGUUUGAUGAUUGGAAGCAACACUAGGUGAAACUUAUCUAUUUGUGUAUACCUCAUCUAUUGGAAACAAGAAGUACUCAUCCAGUCCAUCCAAACACCGAUUGAAAUAUGCAUUUAUAUUUGAAUGAUCAAUUUAUGUCAGUGUAUAUGAUUCUAUUUAAAAGGAAUAAAUCCACCAGUCAAUCUUAUAUUUUCUUUUAUGAGUGUAACAACCAUAUUGAGUUAUGAUGAGAAAUAUGGAAACCUUUGAUCCUAUCAGAUAAAAAUGCAUAGUAUCUGCUUAUUCAAGGAAACAAGAUCAAGCUACACAAUAGUCAUAUUAUUCAAUCCUGAAGAUACAUUAUACAAUUAGGACUUUCUAUCUAUAAAUAUGACAUCAAGAUUUGAAGAACAAUGUAGCGACCGAAGCUAUUCUGUUGCUAUUAGCGACCGAAAUAGAGCUGGACAACCUUUUGUCGUUAACUGGAACCGAAUUUGCGACCAAAUUUAUAUUAGGUGGCUGACUUGCAUCAACGACCGCAUUAACGACUGAAAUGAAGUGUCACUAAAAUCUCGGUCGUUGCAACUCUUGGUCAUUUUGAGUUUGCUACUGAGAUCAUGACACUGAAACCUUCACUUGCUUAGAAACUAAAUCCAGAAGGCUUCACUCCCAUCCACCUUGCUUUACAAUGCAACCAUGACGAAAUGGUCCUUCGCCUUGUAGAAAUGAACAAAGACCUCGUCCGAGUCAAAGGGAGGGAAGGCUUCACUCCGCUGCAUUUGGCAAGUCAAGAAAA
rnacentral:lncRNA from 1 species